UACGGAGGGUGCAAGCGUUAUCCGGAUUUACUGGGUUUAAAGGGUGCGCAGGCGGAUAUGUAAGUCAGUGGUGAAAUCUUCCCGCUUAACGGGAAAACUGCCGUUGAUACUAUAUAUCUGAAUGCUGUGGAGGUGAGCAGAAUAUGUCAUGUAGCGGUGAAAAUGCUUUUAGAUAUGACAUAGAAUACCUAUUGCGAAGCAGCUCACACGCAGAUAUGACGCUCAUGCACGAAAGCGUGGGGAUCAAACAGG
rnacentral:rRNA from 1 species